rnacentral:rRNA from 1 species
UACGUAGGGGGCAAGCGUUGUCCGGAAUUAUUGGGCGUAAAGAGCUUGUAGGCGGUUUGUCGCGUCUGCUGUGAAAAUCCGGGGCUCAACUCCGGACUUGCAGUGGGUACGGGCAGGCUAGAGUCCGGAAGAGGCGAGUGGAAUUCCUGGUGUAGCGGUGAAAUGCGCAGAUAUCAGGAGGAACACCGAUGGCGAAGGCAGCUCGCUGGGACGGUACUGACGCUGAGGCGCGAAAGCGUGGGGAGCAAACAGG